CUGUCUCGUAUUGUCCUUUUUAGCCACCAGCGCACUUGUAACAAAUGUGGGUGGAGCCCUCCCCAAAUCUUCACGAAGCCUGGCCAUGAUGAUAUAGCUCUGCUUUUAGAGACUUGUAAUACAUGGGGGUUUUGCCACCGUAAAUCUGACAACACUCUGUCAGAAGAUCUUGUCCUGAUUCUCUACAUGUAAAAUCCUAAAAAUUCCACUGAUCACAGACAGAGUUAUGGUCAUCUGUAGGUACAGUCACGUGAUGCAAUAAUGAACAAAUAAUAUGAAUAUCAUAAAGAUUUUGGGACAGAAAACAACUGGAAAGUCUUGAGGAAAUCCAAGCACCUAAGGAAUCUACGUAAGAAGAUACUUCAUCCUUCUGGAAACUUGUUAAAAAGGACUAAGAGAAAGGCCUUUUUUACUGACUUAGCGCAGCCCAGGUAGGAAUGCACCUGGCACUGGAUGCAGACAACAGCUGUCUCACCAGCAUCCAUAAUCUGUACUGGUGGCUUCCUGGCUGUACCUGUGUGCCCUGAAUGUAAAAAGCAUCUGUUUCACAUUUAUUCAUUUACUCAGAUGGCAUUAUCUACAUUACUUGCUACCUUUGGACACAAGACUCUCAUUUAUAAUUCAUAGUACACAGAUGCUUACAGAGAGUAGAAGCUUUGGCUACAUUACCUGUCACUCUUAGUAUAUUUUGUAUUCAUGGUGGGUAAAUAUACAAGUAUAAAGCUGCCAUAUUGUGUAUGACUAUCUAUAAUGCAUUAGCAAACAGUUGUUUGAUCAUUUAUACUGUCAUUCUUUGUGGUUGAAAUGAUGUUAGAAUGAAAAAUGAAACAAACUGUGGGUUCACUUUCCCUAAUUUUCUUUUUCUCUCUCUUUCUGUGCAGUGCCGGUACUUUCCAAGUUUUUUGGAAAAUGAAGGUGAUUUUGACUCAUUUUGUUCCUCUUGCUCUUCUCUUUGUAUGAUUAUCAUUCAGGACUCGGUCAGCUAUUCAAUAAGUUCACCAGUGCAGCUGGCUUCAGAAGAAGAUGUUUCCUAUUCUUUGCGUUCAUAGGCUCAUAAAUCCAGCCUGCUGAGAAUAUUAAAAGGAGAAAAAUACUCAGGCAGGAAUAAAGCAUAUCAGAAAGAGAGAGUGAAUGUAACUGGGGAAACAUUUACUCAAAAUUACAUAUUAAGCAAUUUGCUCUUUAAUACUGAAGGAAUAUAUAGAGAAAAUAUAUUAACUGUACUUACCAAGAGCCCUCUGAAUCCAUCAAAUGCUGUUAAAACCAGCCAUUUUUGAACAAGAAGAACAUUCUGUAUACCAUGUAUUGUUUUCAAAAGUUAUUUUUAGUGCAGUAAAUAUUAAAGAAUGUCAUUGUCCCUUGCAUGAGCUCUCACUCAUUUUUCAGGAAGCUUUGCCAGAGAUGCUUGACUUAAGAACCCAUUAAAAUGAAAAUGUACUCAGGAACCUUGCAGGAACAGUGCUUGAAGACAUGGGUGCCAAGCAUGCUUGGCAGCCUGGAAAGCUUACAGAGCUCUCUGAACAGGAAUGCCAUCACAUUAAAGAAUUAGCAUAGCCCCAGGCACCAGUCUUUUUUUUUUUUUCCAGUAGAUGUGAAUGACAUUUUGUAUCUGAGGCAGUGUUUAAAAUAUUCCUUACUCGCACAUAAGUUUUUUAUGACUACAUUAAAAAGCAAAAGGUUGGUUUGUUCCUGUUGACAUUUGUUCCUAUUCCUCUCUCUCACUGGGCACUACAUCUCAAAUAAAGCUUUGAUGUUCAUCUCGCCUUCCACAGCUUUCUCACUCUCUCCAAAUAUUACUACUGCCUCCUGCUCAGACUUCUUCUGCUAGGCAGAAUCUGUUCUGUCAUUCUUCCUAAAGUCUACCAGAUGCCACAAAUUCAGUAAACUCCCAAAAAAAUCCCUGAAAGUCUUUUACCUUCUCAGUAGUGCCUCCUUUCAAAGGUUCGCUCUUUGAAAAUGCAGAUAAAAUAUAUUAAUAAAUACAGAAAGAAUCUGAAUAUCAGUAUUGAGGAGCCUAAAAUGAACUUCUCUAUUCACUGACCCUAGUCUAUGAGAAUUGAAGUUGGGGAAAAUUGGAGAAAUAAUCACUCAGCAGCCUCAUCAAUCAAACCAGCAGCUUAGGCUGCUAAUUAUUCCCUGGUGCAGAUACCUGAGAAUUGAGAAUUACAAAUAUGUGGCUAUUCUGACCACUCACCAAGGAAACUCAGGUUAUUGAUUCCACUACGUGAAAAUAAUCCACCUAACUCUCAGUUUCUUUCUCUUGGGAAAUCUUCUUGCAUAAGGUUCUCUGACAAAGAACAUUUAACCAAAAAAUAUAGUUGCUGACGGCUAAGCUUCAUAUUAUCCUAAUGGACUCCAUUUUGCCAAUUGCUUUCUGUACAGAAAAAUAAAACAAAAAUAAAACUUGUCUUUUCUCCCCAUUAGUCAAAUUCUCUGCAUAGAAGCAGCUCAUACCUUUGUUCAUUAGGCUGCACACAGCCUGAAAGGCUGGGUCAGGAGGCUGCAGUUGUUUCUGGUUUCCUACAUCCAUGUGAUACUAUUUGAAAUUGCUCCAUCCAUCAGGCUACUGCAGAUUGUUCUUUCAGUCUGUAUUAAUCACAGUGGACUAAUCUCACUGCACUGAUGGUGUUUACAUGGGACAAGAACAGUCAUGACCUGAGUUUGGUGGCUUGUUUCUCAAUGAAAAUCAGAACAAGUAGUGCCUGAACUCUCCAGUGUCUGGGGAUGGUUACUCUUAAGUGUUUUACAGAGACAUGCCACGGGAAGAAGAAGGUAUCGUGUUUCCAUGUAAGAGCUUCCAACAGUUUGUCCCUGACAAAUUCCAGAUAUAGAUUUCCAUUUUAGAGACUGUGAACAGCUAAGAACAGAGAAAGCGAAUUAGGUCGAAGAGCUGCUAAGACAUUUUGAAGUGAGAUCUCAAAAAGCAUGAUAUUUAGCCUAGCUUGGUAAUUUCAUGUAGGGGUCAAAUACUAUCUCUAUGACUUCCCACCCACAAUUCAAAAUUUUGUUUAAUUUCUAUGUUAUACUUCAGGAAGUAGUGCCAAUUUUUUACCAAACAGUGUUCUAAUUUUCAGCAACUGCAUUCUAGAUUUCUGGAGCUUAUUGCUAAGUAACUUUGGAAAGUUUGUAUCAAUGUUAUUAGCGUUAUUUACCUUUUAAAGCAUGACUUCACUGCUAGUCCCUAAAAAUAUCUGUGCUAGAGGUAUUUUUUACCCUUGAUUGCGAUGGACGCCUGUUGAAAACUCUGAAUCUGGUAACAAAACUUUCAUGGCACAGAGCCUGAGAAUCCUCAAACAUCACUGCAGUCUUCAGCUUAAAUCCAUAAACACUCUAGUAUAGACAGUUACAACAGAUUUUCACACUUUCAUAAAAAAGCACAGUGCACAAUUUUGAUAUUUUUUUUUAGAAAAGCCCUCAUUGCCUCACUGUUCUAAGGCCACUUUGGUACAAGGAUUUGUUAUCUUGGCUGACAACUGCACUGAAGCCCAUAAGAAUCUCCUUUUUUUGCUCUAACAGGCAAAUUCCCUGUUUUCUGAGAAUCCUUUCUAGGAAGGCAGUGCUGAAUGUGUAUCAGACUUGAAAAGAAAGCCUAUCUAUGCUGCCAUUUUCGCUUUUUAUUUUUCUAAUUUGGAACUCAGCUCACAUCCAGCCCGAAGAAGCAAUUCUGCGUGUGGAAAAUGCUGCAGCUGGUUUCCUCCAGUGCUUCCCGUAUUCAUAGCGAGGGAGGCAGUGGUGGGCUUACACAAGAUUGGCUUAAAUGGGAAAUCAAUACUGGUUCCUCAGUUCCUACAAAAGAGCUGAACUGGGCUGGAUUGGCUCCAAGCAGAAAAAAAGGAGUUAAGUGGAAAAAACUGGCUGCCAGUGGGAUAGGUACUCUGCUGCAUACGAGGCUGUUUGGGUCUCUGCCACUGAACCCAUCACAAGAAGUCUGAGAUAACCUGGCUUACCUCCUACCAUCUGGUUUUCAAUGAAUGAUAAAUAUUGGAAAAAUAAAAGUUGGAGGCUUUUUUUCCCUAGGCAUAUAUUAGCUUAUAAAUACAUAAAUGUUUCUGUUCAGCAUCAGUAGAAUUUGUACCUUAUACUGUACUAACCAGUUACAAAAGGGGUUGAAAACUUGUUCUGCAGAUGAAAAGUGAAAUCAUUGGUGUGAUUCCUUGUUCUACAGCUAAGGAGAAACAUGUGAUCUAAUUAGCAAUUCCAUCAGACAUUGCUCAGUGAUUGGAACUUAGUUUCGCAGGGUCUCACUUGACAAGACUUUCCAUUUAAUCUCUUGUAUUUAAAUUUUCUAUGAAAUAAAUCUCAAUAAAAUUCACAUUUCCGAAA